CAAGGGCAUCUGGACACAGCCAUUCCUGGUGGGUUUGGUGCCACCUCAACACCCAGACCUUCUCCAGGCAGCCCUGUGAAGACCCAGGAGAGGCAGCAGCCAUGAAGAUCCUGUUCCUGCUCUUCCCCCUGAUCCUCCUGUUGGCCCAGGGUGCUGCAGGAAGUGAACUUGAAUGCAAACGCCGAAGAGGAUACUGUUAUUUUGGGAGAUGUGUCCUCCCUGCAAGGCAAAUUGGAAGAUGCACAGGACAAACCGUCUGCUGCAGAGGUAUCUGGGGUUGAGACCCUGAAAUAUCCAAGCAGGACUUGCCCCUUGCUUCUGGCUUCUGGACCCAUCUCCUGAUGUCCCCUCCUGUCCCUGCCUGUGCCAUGCCCAGCUGGGGUGACAGCAGCAGUGGCAGCUGCUCCUGCUGGGUGCUGCUGGGCUGGAGCCCUGUGGUGCCAGCCCCGCUGUCUUUGGGGCAGGGGCUGCUUUUCCCAGCUUGAAUAAAGACGAGC